GAAAAGUCUCCGAAUUGGGCCGAGGUUUUGGCUAGCCCCCCAUUGUCAGAUGUCCCGAGCGCGUUCCCGAAGUCGGAAUCGGCAAAGGUGAGCCGGGACAGCCUUCUUCCUCCGCCCAGCCGCCACAGUGAUUGUCGUCAAGUCUGCCACAGGAGGAUAUUUUGUUCUGGGUUAACCUGCUUUUCUACCUCGCAGGUUGUUUAUCAAUAUUGUGUAAUUUUAAUUACUCCUAGAAUUUCCGCAUGUGUUAGCAGUAAUUAUUUGAAUUUGGUCUGUAA